CCACAAACUUAUUUAAUCGAUUGUAAGUUGAUCAAAGUGGAAAUCGGACAUUUGAUGUUAAAUUACUCGUUGCAAAUUGCAAAUAUUUACACGCGGAUUAGACUUAUUCAUUAUUUGCGACGUUACUAAUACAAUUAAUCAAGAAAUAAAAAAACGAGUAAAAUGGUAUCGAGAACUUUGGGCUUGGUCAUUUCCAUUAUCACCGGGGUGAUUAUUAUAGCAACAAUUCCUCUCACCAUGGGCCCGCUAUUAAUGGGAAUGCUGAUGUAACACAAUACUCACGCCAUACGCCACAAUAGUUGGACGGUCAAAGGUUUUAGAUGGAGAAAGAAAUUGUGACUUAUAUACAUACAUAUUUUGUAUUAUGUUAUGUAAGUGUUAGUAAAUAUAAAAAUAAGCUGAAUCAGAAAUGUUUUUAACUCAAGCAAAAAUAAAUUAUUUUAAUUUAUGAAAAUAUUUAUUUAAUAAAAUAAUUACUUUAGAUUUGACUUAAUCACUUAUCUUGUACUAUAAGUAAGACAAUUUCUGACUAAAUUGGUUCGUAAAGUUCCACAUAGUCCGAAUUUAUACUCGCCACGUUCGAAACUCCUAAAAGAAUGGGGAAGCUAUUAAGUAUAUCUAGGUCGAAAUUGGUUAUUCUUCCUACCUGAAAGUGCCAUAGUCAAGUCGAGUUCACUUUUGAGAAUUUCCAACACCUUCGUGACACCUUCCUCCCCAGCGACGCUCAGACCAGCUAACGCCGCUCGCCCCACGAAUACCUGAAAUUUCAGAAGCUGCAUCAUUGUCCACAUUUUUUUUCAAAAUUACGUUUCAAAAUUAAAUAUGUAAACUUGUAAUGAAUCCACAAAUAUUUUUGUCUUUGUUUGCAAUACCAUUUUGGCUCCAAGUGCGAUCGCUUUAAAAACAUCGGUCCCCAGACUGAUUCCACCGUCGAGAUAGAUUUCCAUUCCGCUUGACGCCGUGGCAGACACAACUUCGGACAGUGCAUCAAUCUGUAACAUUGAUACAUUUGCAAAUAAUUAAAAGUACCAAUUCGUAUACUUUUAAUUGUUUGUAAAUGUAUUAGUGUUACAGUUACGGAUUAAUUAUAGAGGUAAUUCACGCAGGUCUUGUAAAAUCUUGUAAAAUCUGUAACUAAUAUAGGUAUAAAUAUUUGUGGGAAAAAUUAACUUGCAAAUUUUCGUAAAUUUGCUAAGAUCAAGGACAUUUUUUAUAUUCUGUAAAAGUUUGUAAAAUUAUUCUACGAAACUUAUGGAUUUUAUAAGUUACAAAUGACUGCGUGAAUUUCCUCCAUAUUUUUAUGACUUAAAUUUAAAUUAGUUUAAAUAUUAACCGUGGGAAUAACCGAGUCCAACUGACGACCACCAUGGUUCGACACGAUAAUGGCAUCCACGCCAUAGUCCGCUGCAAGCUUGGCGUCCUCACCGAUGCGGCGACCUCUU